rnacentral:lncRNA from 12 species
CAAGUGAGCAAAGUUUAUUGCUUAUCUCACUUCACCUUCCUUCAUAUAGCUACAGUUGUCUUUACAUCAUUUUUUGGCAAUUCCAAACUACUGCAUCACCAAAUACUUGAUAAUUGUAUCUAAGGACAAAUGUACUGAUCUUUACAAACCCUGAAGAAUCUCUGCAUUAUUUUAUUUGUGAGAAUUUUAAUUUCAGGUUCUUUCCAGGUCUUACACUGUUGUCUUUUUAAGGUCAAGUCUCCUGGGAUCUACCCAAAGUUCCUGUGAUAGGCAAACUAUUCAUCCUCAUUCAACAGAGAUAAAAUGUCUUUGGAAAAAAAUUUCAUCAGCCUAAUGGAAACCACCCACAUGGCACCGGCAAUCUAUCUUCCCGAGAAACCUCUGAAGAAGGCUUCUGUACUUAUAAAUCCCAAUUGUGGGAAAGGUGACACAAGAUUUGCUUUCCAGCCUGCUCUGGUGUCUUAUAGUUACAAAAUAAGCUUUAUUCUUAAAUCAUCUUCUAAAAUUAAAGUCCCUUCACAAUCUGAUGGUAAUACAGGGGCUCCAUUUCCUGAGAGAUUAUUUCCAGGAGUAUAUGUUGCUCAUCUCUUCACCAUGAAACAAUAAUAAACUGAGGCAAAUGAGAAACUCUGUUACAUAGAUUACAACCGCUCAGUACCACCACUUCCCCCUGAAAUGUGUCAACUCCUUGGAGAAAUGGCUAAUUCAUGACUGCAGAAGGAAAACUAGAACUUCUUGACACACCAGGAAGCAAGGAGGUAAUGAAAGACAUUCUAGAGAUAUCACCAAGGCAUAUUAUUAUGUAAAACAGACAAAUCACAGGAAUGUCAAAAUAUACAGGCGCUGACAAGAAUGGGUUAUAUCAGUGGCCAAAAGUAGGACAACUGGACAUCAAAAAGAAUAAUGAGGGGCACCUGGAUGGCUCAGUGGUUGAGCGUCUGCUUUUGGCUCAGGUAGUGAUCCCCUGGGUCCUGGAAUCAAGUCCCUGCAUGGAGCUUGCUUCUCCUUCUGCCUAUGUCUCUGCCUCUCUCUCUCUCUGUCUCUCUCAUGAAUAAAUAAAUAAAAUCUUUUUUUAAAAAAGAAAAA